rnacentral:tRNA from 1 species
GGGGAUGUAGCUGAGUUGAUAGAGUGCUUGCCUGGCAUCCAUGAAGCUCUGGGUUCUACCCUCUGCACCCCCU